rnacentral:rRNA from 1 species
UACGUAGGGUGCAAGCGUUUGUCCGGAAUCAUUUGGGCGUAAAGCGCGCGUAGGUGGCUUCGUCAGUCCGUUGUGAAAGUCAAAGGCUCAACCUUUGAAUGCCGAUGGAUACUGCGAAGCUAGAGUACGGAAGAGGCGAGUGGAAUUCCUGGUGUAGCGGUGGAAUGCGCAGAUAUCAGGAGGAACACCAAUAGCGAAGGCAGCUCGCUGGGACGUUUACCGACACUAAGGCGCGAAAGCGUGGGGAGCGAACAGG